GAUGAUCUACACUCAUAGUGGAACAUUUCAUAUGAAGAAGUCGAAGGCAUAUAAUGAAGUCUUGUUGGAGAAAUAAUUGAAGGAAUAAAGGGGCAGAAACUGACCUAAAACCAGCUUAAUAUUCACAUGUUCAUGUUUCCUACCCACAUGAAGAAAGCUAGAUGCUUUUCUCUUUUUCCUUGGAUAUAUUUUUCUUCUACAAUCUCUUUAAUAGAUCAUCACCACUUCCAUGUUGCUGCACCUUCAUGCUUUGCUUUCAUUUCAUCUUUUCUCUAUCUUUUCCAUAUUUUACAAGUGAACUUAGAUCUACUUUCAUUAUUUUUCUUCCACUCAUCAUUUCACUCUUCUUUUUCUUCCCUAUAUAAACACCUUCUCCUCUCAUUCUAAAACACCCAUUCACAUACAACAUCAAAACAUCUCUAAGAUGAUCUAAGUUCUCUCUAGAGCAAACCUCUCUAAGAGCAACUCCUCUCCCUCUCUUUCUCUUUCUCUUAUCGGUGAUCACACUCCUAGUCCUAGUCUUCUCAGAAGCCGACUUUCAGUGCCACCAAACCCUCUGUCAACGUGCUUCGGUCCUAGUCUCCUCGGGAGCCGACGGUAGUGCCGCGACCACAACGGUUACAGAACCAGCCAAGCAAGGGUAACGCCCUAGCAACCCAGCCAAGCUAAAGUCACGCUUUAGCAAGAUCUCAACAUUUCCCGGUGAUGUCGCUCUGCUCGAUCUACAAUAUUGAGUAUCGAUUGUGUUAACAAGAAGAAACUUCAGCAAAGUCCUCACCACGAGGCAGAAAGAAUCCCCAUGACGAGGUUGGUGCUCUCCUCGUCUACAAUCGCUUGAAAAGAAGUCAGGUCAAGGGACAUCCCCGACGACCGUACCCGAACGGUGCUGGCAUGCCCGCGCAGAAAAGAGACUGUUGACCAGCUGCAGCAAAAUUGGAGCCAAACAACCGGCACCUCUAAAGAGAUUUAUAACUAUGAAGUUGACACUACUACACUUUGGGGCAAAGGCCACACUCUCCUAGCCACAGAUGAAUUAAAGCGUGGAGAUCUCCACCCAAUUUGCUCAGUUGGUAAAAGAUUCCCACUUUUCCGAUUACAAUCCUGUCUAUGCAAUUGUUUACUAUAUUUUUUCUAUCACCUGGCCCAGUUUCACUGUUACAAGCAGAGGAUUUGAGCAUUUUACCGCACCAAUUGAAAUUGAAAGAACGGUAAAUUAUUUUUUUCUUUUCUUUUAUAAACUUUUUGUCCAUCAGAUUUUAUCUUCUUCCCAUCUCUUUCUCUCUCUCUCUCUCUCUUUCAUGUCGCAGUCCUCUCCAGUCCAUGGCAACAACAACAGUAAUUUUCAGCAAGCUAGCUCUCUCAAUCAGAUUAGCAAUCCGCUGCUCAUUGUUAGGGCUUCAAGAGUAUCGGCCAUUAUCCUCUAUUGCGAAUGGUUUCUAUAUGUGUUUGGCUUUAUCUUAGUCAAAUGGUGAGGAUACCAUACCCGUAUGGACAAAAAUCUCAGAUUUGUAGGAAAGAUGGGUACUGACUUGCACCAUGUGCUGAACUAGGCCAUUUUCUGGAAACUGAAGCAUCGGGCUCUCGAAUCCUACCACAGAAAAUGGCACGCUGAAUUUCUGGUAUUGCUGCAUGUCCCAAUCGAACUGCAAUAUCGGUUAAUCGGGAGGUUAUCGUUUGGAACAAACAGCCGCAAAAGCUUAUGAUAUAACAAAACUCAAGCACGUGAGUAGACAAAAAUAUGUUACUCACUGAGAAGGAAAAUUUAUAUCAAGUCCAACUCAAAGUAUCCAGCUUCCAUGUUGAAUUUUGAAGAGUCUGAGCUGUUGUUUGAGACAGGGAGAAGUUAAGGCAACGUCAGUUAGUAGUCAAGGCAAGGUCAAUUACUAGUCAGUAUGUAGAGGUUACAGAGUUAGAGCUCUUGUUGAAGCCUAGGAGAAGUUGAGGUAAUAAACCAUUUGGUUUGUUGAUUAGUAUCUAGAGAACUAUAUGUAUUGAUGUAUUAAAGUUUAAAUAGAAAGAUUUAUGUAUCUGGUUUGUUGAAUUUUACAAUAUAGGAAAUUAUUGUUAUAUAUUCAACAAUCAGAUAUUGGAUUUUCAUUAUAUGUACCAGGGAAAAAAAAAUUCAGAUAUUGAGAAUUCUUUAUGAACAA